CCCAGCCUGGGGAACAUCAUGGCACAGAGUAAGGCAGGAAGCCAGUGCCACCAAAUCCCCAUCCCUGGUUAUUUGAGGUAAAGGGAGAAAUGACAAAUGACUGCUUCCUCACUCCCUUCCCCAGCUUCUCUGGAGGCUCCUUCCUUUGGGGAGGCCACAUUGUUCCUUCCUCCAGAAGCUUCACGACCUCCCUCAAGCUUGCUGCCUAAGCAGCCUCCUAAUGUCACUUUUGUGAUUUCUCACUUCAGGGUAUUUUUACCCAUGGGUGUGAGGAACAAGGAAGCAACAUGUCAUGGAAGGAGGGUGAUCACCCAUCGCUCCUCUAUCAAAUGAGAGCACAGGAGGAGCAGAAGAGACUUCCCUAGGGGCACGCAGCUUCUACCUCUCCUUGGAGACCUUGGCCUGCAUCCCCUGAAAAUUUGAAGUGGAGGAACUUGCACCCCAUUCCCUGAGGAAGCUGAAGAGACUGUGGAUGAGCCUGACUCCUGCACAGGAAAUCUCACAGACACGAGAAGGGCUGACACACUGCUGGGGCGUGGGCCGCACUGCUGUGCCACGCCAAGCGUGGGCCGGGCAGGGUAAAGGGACAGUCCACGAAGCAGAAGCUUGUGAGAUGAGGUGUUUUACCCCCUCCUCUCCUGCCUCCAGACCGACCCAAGCUGGUGCCAGGAGAAGAUUGAUGCUUUAACAUGAAGCCGAGUCAGACAUCCUGAAUAAGAGCUUGGACUGGACAUUAAAUGUUUGAAAUUGAGUCUAUACCUGCAACCUAUGUCACCAUGGGGAUGCACAUUUUCUAAGAAUAGAAAGAAAGGUUCUGGGAUUGCCAGAAUAUGCAUCCAGGACUGAAGGAAGAAAAGCCCCACCACAUCAAGUUUAAUGGGGUAAUGAGAGGCAAAAUAAAGCUGUGCUUGUUU